UCUGGUGACAAUGGCAAGGAGGUCACACCUGUUCCCAUGCCGAACACAGAAGUUAAGCUCCUUAGCGCCGAUGGUA
rnacentral:rRNA from 3 species